rnacentral:tRNA from 1 species
UGGAAAUGUAGCUCAGUGGUAGAGUGCUUGCCUAGCAUGUUGAAGGCCAUGGGUUCAAUUCCCAGUUCUAG